rnacentral:rRNA from 1 species
UACAGAGGGUGCAAGCGUUAAUCGGAGUUACUGGGCGUAAAGGGCGCGUAGGUGGUUUGUUAAGUGAGCUGUGAAAUCCCUGGGCUUAACCUAGGAACUGCAACUUAUACUGGCAAGCUGGAGUACUGUAGAGGGUAGUGGAAUUUCCGGUGUAGCGGUGAAAUGCGUAGAGAUCGGAAGGAACACCAGUGGCGAAGGCGGCUACCUGGACAGAUACUGACACUGAGGCGCGAGAGCGUGGGGAGCAAACAGG